CAUGUACUCCCUCCGUCCAAUAUUAGUUGUCUCAAAUUUGUUCAAAUAUGGAUGUAUCUGUGCCUGAAAAGCAUCUAGAUACAUGUAAUAUUUCGACAAUUAAUAUGGGACGGAGAGAGUAGUUC
rfam:Brachypodium distachyon strain Bd21 chromosome 3, whole genome shotgun sequence.